rnacentral:rRNA from 1 species
GAGCGUUAAGCGGAAUUACUGGGCGUAAAGGGUGCGUAGGCGGUUAGUUAAGUGCGGCGUGAAAGCCCCGGGCUCAACCUGGGAAUGGCGAUGGAAACUGGCGUGCUGGAGUGUGGCAGAGGGAGGUGGAAUUCCACGUGUAGCAGUGAAAUGCGUAGAGAUGUGGAGGAACACCGAUGGCGAAGGCAGCCUCCUGGGCCGAUACUGACGCUGAGGAGCGAAAGCGUGGGGAGCGAACAGG